ensembl:ncRNA T06D8.14 ncRNA
ACACAAAAAGAUAAUCUGGACGUCGCAGGAGAGUAUGAACGAGAGAAAGAGCAUUUGUAUGCACAUGGGAGAACAAACUGACCGGCUCCGUUGCGGCAGAACCACUCGGUUAGCAGAGAAAAAGAGAGAGAGACAGUACCCGCAGAUUUUUGAUCAUGAAGAGAGUUUGUGAGGCCUCUCCACGCCAUGUUCUUCCGCGCGCGCGC